GAUGAACGCUGGCGGCGUGCCUAAUACAUGCAAGUCGAGCGAACGGACGAGAAGCUUGCUUCUCUGAUGUUAGCGGCGGACGGGUGAGUAACACGUGGAUAACCUACCUAUAAGACUGGGAUAACUUCGGGAAACUGGAGCUAAUACCGGAUAAUAUUUUGAACCGCAUGGUUCAAAAGUAAAAGACGGUCUUGCUGUCACUUAUAGAUGGAUCCGCGCUGCAUUAGCUAGUUGGUAAGGUAACGGCUUACCAAGGCAACGAUGCAUAGCCGACCUGAGAGGGUGAUCGGCCACACUGGAACUGAGACACGGUCCAGACUCCUACGGGAGGCAGCAGUAGGGAAUCUUCCGCAAAGGGCGAAAGCCUGACGGAGCAACGCCGCGGGAGUGAUGAAGGUCUUCGGAUCGUAAAACUCUGUUAUUAGGGAAGAACAUAUGUGUAAGUAACUGUGCACAUCUUGACGGUACCUAAUCAGAAAGCCACGGCUAACUACGUG
rnacentral:rRNA from 1 species